rnacentral:lncRNA from 1 species
UUUUAGUGCUUAUUAUCACCUCACCUUCCCUUUAUUUCUCCAAGUUGCAGCUGGACUCCAGUUCUGAAAACUUCUGGAACUGAAAUAAAGAGGGAGAAAUUGAGUUGUAACGAAAGGACGCGUUGUUCUCAAACAAAAGGUAGGGAUGAAGGACUUUGUUCUAAGAGUUUGUUCAUAAUAAAUAAAAGACAAAUAGUUUCAAGCUGAACUGCCUUGCAAAUUAGAGCUUCACUUCAGCUUUUUUUUUUUUCAUUUUAUGAAUCCAACCUUUUUCUUUUAUUAAGGGCAGCUGAAAUUUCGACUUACUUGUGACUGAAUAUAGUGCUCCAAUCCACAAAAAAAUAUUCUGCUGAUCGGAAUGCUUCAGUUUCGGAUCAUUCUGAGCUAAUAUUUGCUCAGCUAAGCUAAAAACCGGAGGCGUAUUUGUAUUUAAGUAAAGCAGAAUAAUUUCUUCCAAUCCUGUGCCUGUGUCAGCCCAGUCGGGGCGCUGGUGGGAGCUGCUGGCUGGUAGAAAGACGAGGCUUUCUCCUUAUGAAAAAUGCCUGACCAAAAGCAAUCCGGUUUGUGUCACCAUUGCUUUUCUCCCAUUUAUUUCUUUGAUAAAUAAACUAAAUAAGUAAACCUGUAGGUUUCAUUUCAACCUGAACUGCAGCCGUGUCGCUGUGCAGGCAGGUAACAAAACACCGACCUCAGGGCACCGAUUUCCCAAUUCCCACAAACAAAAUGACACUCUCCAUACAAAAUACAAACCCACUGCGCUCUGCUUCUUCAGAUCAAUUCCCCCCUGUCGCUAUCUAACGCAGAAACAACAUCCCAUUCCUACAGCUGGGGGCUGGAUGGGGCCCCAGCCCCAGGAACCGAGGGCUGUUUGUGCCGCGAUGCUCAGCCCUGCUUCUCCUCCUUGUUUUCCCCCUUGUUGGAAAUAUCCCAAUAAUUUAUCAGGACGGUAUCUGUCCUGAUACUGUCAGGAUCAGGAUGCAAUUGCAUCCAUUGGAUGCAGUGAUGGGCAUCCUAAAGCACAGAAAGCAGCGUUGUGUCUUUUACACCCUUAUCUCUGUUAUUAUCUCUACUAUCCCUAUUGCUUCUCUCUUUCUCCCCUGGUUCCUCGUUGGCUGAGCACUUCAGGAUCACAACCUUCUCAACGCUCGACUGAACACACGGAUACUGGACAAACACCAAUUUUUGCCAGCUCAGCUGAUUAUUUAACUUCUCACACCUGCUCACUCAACACUCGGUCAUUGUUUCUGCACGUCUGCUCGUCCUUGCAUAGAGCUAUUUCUGAGGACAAGUUACGAAACACAAAUACACUGUGCUCUACUUCUCCAGCUCAAUUCCCCCUUUUUCAUAUGAGGACAGCUCAUGAGACUGAGUGUGAGCAAGGCCACGGGGCUGGAUGAUGUGCACCCCUAAAAGAGCUGGCUGAGGUGGCUGCUGAGCUGCUCCCCAUUGUGUCUGAAGUCAUGGCUCAGGUGAAGUCCCCGGGGUCUGGAAAAUGGGAAACAUGGCCCCAGCGACAAGGAAGGGAGGAAGGAGGAGCUGGGGAGCGCAUGGAGCAGAUGCUCCUAGAAGCCACGUUGAGGUCUUUGAGGGAUGAGCAGCUGAUCCGAUCAGAGCCUCAUCCGAGACUCAGGAAUAGCACACGUCCAUUCAUUGAGAGCUUUCUUAGCAGCUCCUGAGCACUCGAAGGCAAACAGCUCCAAAGAAAUGCUUUGCAAUACAAAACCGUCCACAAAGUGCCGCUGGUUGCCUCAAUAAAGGCCGGCUCGUUUUGCA